CCAGCCCGCUCAGAAACUCAAGGAAUUGACGGGGCCCGCACAAGCGGUGGAGUAUGUGGUUUAAUUCGAUGCAACGCGAAGAACCUUACCUGGUCUUGACAUCCCGGAGACCCUUAGGAAACUAGGGGGUGCUUCCAUCUGGAAGAAUCUGGAGACAGGUGCUGCAUGGCUGUCGUCAGCUCGUGUCGUGAGAUGUUGGGUUAAGUCCCGCAACGAGCGCAACCCUUGCCUUUAGUUGCCAGCAGUUCGGCUGGGCACUCUAAAGGGACUGCCGGUGUUAAACCGGAGGAAGGUGGGGAUGACGUCAAGUCCUCAUGGCCUUUAUGACCAGGGCUACACACGUACUACAAUGGCCGAUACAAAGGGCAGCGACACUGCGAGGUGAAGCCAAUCCCGUAAAAUCGGUCUCAGUCCGGAUUGGAGUCUGCAACUCGACUCCAUGAAGUUGGAAUCGCUAGUAAUCGUGGAUCAGCAUGCCACGGUGAAUACGUUCCCGGGCCUU
rnacentral:rRNA from 1 species